rnacentral:rRNA from 1 species
GGCCUACGGGGGGCAGCAGUGGGGAAUCUUGCACAAUGGAGGAAACUCUGAUGCAGCGAUGCCGCGUGAGUGAAGAAGGCCCUUGGGUUGUAAAGCUCUUUUGUCAGGAAAGAUAAUGACUGUACCUGAAGAAUAAGGUCCGGCUAACUUCGUGCCAGCAGCCGCGGUAAUACGAAGGGACCUAGCGUAAUUCGGAAUUACUGGGCGUAAAGCGCGCGUAGGCGGUUAAGUAAGUUAAUUGUGAAAGCCCGAAGCUCAACUUCGGAAUUGCAAUUAAAACUACUUAGCUAGAGUUUAUCAGAGGAAAGCGGAAUACAUAGUGUAGAGGUGAAAUUCGUAGAUAUUAUGUAGAACACCAGUUGCGAAGGCGGCUUUCUGGGAUAACACUGACGCUGAGGUGCGAAAGUAUGGGUAGCGAAGAGGAUUAGAUACCCUCGUAGUCCAUACCGUAAACGAUGAUUGUUAGAUGUUGGAAAUUUAUUUUCAGUAUCACAGCUAACGCGUUAAACAAUCCGCCUGGGGAGUACGACCGCAAGGUUAAAACUCAAAUGAAUUGACGGGGACCCGCACAAGCGGUGGAGCAUGUGGUUUAAUUCGAAGCUACGCGCAGAACCUUACCAACACUUGACAUGUCUGUCGCGGAUUCCAGAGAUGGAUUCCUUCGGUUCGGCCGGACAGAACACAGGUGCUGCAUGGCUGUCGUCAGCUCGUGUCGUGAGAUGUUGGGUUAAGUCCCGCAACGAGCGCAACCCCUACUUCUAGUUGCCAUCAGGUUAAGCUGGGCACUCUAGUAGGACUGCCUGUGAUAAGCAGGAGGAAGGUUGGGAUGACGUCAAGUCCUCAUGGCCCUUACGUGUUGGGCUACACACGUGCUACAAUGGCAGUGACAAUGAGAUGCUAAACGGCGACGUUAAGCUAAACUCAAAAACCUGCCUCAGUUCGGAUUGCACUCUGCAACUCGAGUGCAUGAAGCUGGAAUCGCUAGUAAUCGCUCAUCAGCGCGGAGCGGUGAAUACGUUCCCGGGUCUUGUACACACCGCCCGUC